rnacentral:tRNA from 1 species
GGGCCGGUAGUCUAGCCGGAAGGAUGCCCAGCCGCGUGGCGCUGGGCCCGCGGCGCACACGCCUUGCACGCGGGCGGACCCGGGUUCGGGGGAGAACCCGCCUAGAAAUCCCGGCCGGUCCACCA